rnacentral:rRNA from 1 species
GACGAACGCUGGCGGCGUGCCUAAUACAUGCAAGUAGAACGCUGAAGAGAGGAGCUUGCUCUUCUUGGAUGAGUUGCGAACGGGUGAGUAACGCGUAGGUAACCUGCCUGGUAGCGGGGGAUAACUAUUGGAAACGAUAGCUAAUACCGCAUGACAUUGAUUAUCGCAUGAUAAUUGAUUGAAAGAUGCAAUUGCAUCACUACCAGAUGGACCUGCGUUGUAUUAGCUAGUUGGUGAGGUAACGGCUCACCAAGGCGACGAUACAUAGCCGACCUGAGAGGGUGAUCGGCCACACUGGGACUGAGACACGGCCCAGACUCCUACGGGAGGCAGCAGUAGGGAAUCUUCGGCAAUGGGGGGAACCCUGACCGAGCAACGCCGCGUGAGUGAAGAAGGUUUUCGGAUCGUAAAGCUCUGUUGUAAGAGAAGAACGGGUGCGAGAGUGGAAAGUUCACACUGUGAC